AAUAUUGCACAAUGGGCGAAAUCCUGUUGCAGCAACGCCGCGUGAGUGAUUAAUGCCUACGGGUCGUAAAGCUCUUUGAUCAGGGAUGAUAAUGACAGUACAUGAAAAACAAGCCACGGCUAACUACGUUCCAGCAGCCGCGGUAAUACGUAGGUGGCGAGCGUUGUACGGAACUACUGGGCGUAAAGGAUGCGUAGGUGGAUACUUAAGUGGGAUGUGAAAUCCACGGGCUCAACCCGGGAACUGCAUUCCAAACAGGGUAUCUAGAGUGCAGGAGAGGAAAGCGGAAUUCCUAGUGUAGCGGUGAAAUGCGUAGAUAUUAGGAGGAACACCAGUGGCGAAGGCGGCUUUCUGGACUGUAACUGACACUGAGGCAUGAAAGCGUGGGUAGCAAACAGG
rnacentral:rRNA from 1 species